CGGAUUGUAGUCUGCAACCCGACUACAUGAAGCUGGAAUCGCUAGUAAUCGCGGAUCAGAAUGCCGCGGUGAAUACGUUCCCGGGUCUUGUACACACCGCCCGUCACACCAUGGGAGUCGGAAAUGCCCGAAGUCUGUGACCCAACCUUAGGGAGGGAGCAGCCGAAGGCAGGUCGGAUGACUGGGGUGAAGUCGUAACAAGGUAAC
rnacentral:rRNA from 1 species